rnacentral:lncRNA from 1 species
UGGGACUUUUGGGUGGGGAGCCUAGAGGUUAAGAUGAUCCCAUGGGUAUCAUUUUUUAUACUCUGAUUAAGUCUUUUAUCAGACUGAUUUAUGCUUUUCUCUCUUUCCUGGAUACCACCCUCACAAAAAAAUAAACAUUAUGAUCUUUUAAAAAACAAUAAAUAUAAUUCAUCUUUGGUCAGCUUCUAAUACAGUUUUGGCCUUGAGUGUUGUAUACACUCAGGGUAUGUUUGGGGUGCUGAACUGCUCUCACCAAGUCUGCAUAUACAACACAGAACACUGACCACAUGCUUAGUCUUUGUAAAUAAAAAUAUGAAGUUAAUUGUCUAUAGAAUGGCAGAUUGUUUGUGUUUAUGCUUAAGACCUUUGCAUUACUUUAAUCCACUUACCCUAGCAAAUGCUAUGAGAAAUAUUCUGAGGUUUAUAUUAAGAUAACAGUUGAUUGGGAUAUAAUAUACAACAUGGGUGACUAUGGUUAAAAUUACUGUAGUGUAUAUUUGAAAGUUGCUAAGAAACACAUACAGUGGUUAAAGAAUGCCUGCCAAUGCAGGAGAUGCCAGAGAUGUGAAUUUGACCCCUGGGUCAGAAAGAUCCCCUGGAGGAGGAAAUGCCAAUUCAUUCCAGUACUCUUGCCUGGAAAAUUCCAUGGGCAGAGGAGCCUGGCGAGCUACAGUGCCUGAGGUCACAAGGAGUCAGACACAAGUGAGUGACUGAGCACACGUGCGCGGACACACACACACACACAGGAGACACAUAGGAAGCACUCAUUCUGUGUUGGCUAAUAUCAGUUCUUGGGAUAGGAGCAGUAAGAUCUACCUAAAGUAAGUUUUCAUGAGGUUGUGGUUUUGUGAGAUGUGACAGACUCUCUCCUGCCAUUCUCAACAGUUUAGUCAGAUAUGUAUUAUUCCAAUGCAAAGUGGAAUUUGGAAUUUUUCAUACAGUGAAGGACUAGGUGCAGCCUCCAGGUGGGGACAAAAAACAAGAUGGAUAAUCAAACAUGGUAUCUGAGAACUUCAAAGCUGGCCCUGGCCUUGGCAAUUAUCCGCUCCAAACCAGCAGACAAAAGCAGCAGAGAAUAUACAGAGCAUCUUGCGAGGAUGGUGUCCGGGCAGGAAUCAAGGUGGAGAUCAAAAGUCGAAGCCUUGGAAGCUGAAGUUCUACAACUACGUCAGAAACUUCUCCUGAGCAGGAUUUUUUCGGGAUCAUUUAAGAGUGGAGACCCAUCUUCCCAGCUGCAGGCUCAGGAACCUAAAAGUUCUGAAAAUACACCAACUCUGCUGGAGGAUUCCGGGUGUUAUUUAUCAAGUGAGCAGCAGACACCCUCAGAGAUGCCCCAGUGCUGUGGGGAGAGCCAGAUCCCCAUCCCCUUCUCAUCACUGCCCAUUGGGAGUAAACCCUGUGCUCCCCCAGAAGAGCCUCUGUCCUCUCACAUGCAGUUCUUGCAACAUCUGCUUGGACUGAAGAACUUGACUGAGUCAGAGUAUCUUAAAACAGACUUAAGCCACUUUGAAAAUGCCUCUGCCACAAUAUCGGAUUCUGUUUUUCAGUUGCUGGAGGGCUUGAUUGCUUUUUACCGAGCACCCAAACUUCCUUGUUCAAGCUUUUGGACAGAAGCUAUUGAUACUUUAGCUAGACUGAUUGGUGAUUGUAACUUAUCUAAUCAUAUUCUUAGAAAGUGUUCCAAAAAGUUGGAAGAGUUUGAGAAGACCCUGAUACAGGUUAUUUUAAGGAACAACCAUAUCAAUCGGUUUCAGGUGCAGCGUUAUGUCUCGCAGAGUCUGGUAAUGCUGGGAAGUUGCAGCUUGUUGAGAAGAUCUAUAAUAUCUCUGCUUCUGUCAGAAGUAAACAGCUUUGCUGAUGAUCUGGGUGCCGUCGACCAGGUCCAAGCCAAUUAUGAUGUGGCACGCUAUGAAAAUAUGUUCUCUGUGCUCUGGGUUCUGGAGCAACUUCUUCAAAAGGAAAACAAAGAAGACAACUCUUCAAGAACCGGGCAUGAGGAUCAGGAAAUCAAGAAAUUUCUUCAGAAACAUGAUGAAACUGUUUUCAAGCUCUCCGAUGCAUUUCCUUUAUUUACUUUUUAUUUGUGGAGACUGGGCAUUCUCUUGAACUCAGUAGAAAUAGGAACUGUUGGAAAUGACUCACUUCCUUAG